rnacentral:lncRNA from 1 species
UUGCCCAGGCUGGUCUUGAACUGCUGGCCUCAGGUGAUAGGCCCGCCUCGGCCUCCCAAAGUGCUGGGAGUAUAAGGCAUGAGCAACCCCUCCCUGCCCUACCCCUGCCAGGCUUGUUUUUUAAACAAAGACUUUCUUACCUGUGAUUAUUAGACCUAAAACCAAUAUACCUUUAUCUUUUCCAAGUUCCCUCUUUCCCCUCCAUGUUACAUUUUAAGCAUCUAUUUUUAGUGAUAGCUUUCAACAUUGGCCUUUUGAGCCAUCGCCCAGUAUGCAUUACAAUUUCCACAAACACUUUUGCCAUUUGAUGUCGUAAAUUCUUUCAAAAUGGUUUUUAGGUAAUGAUUAUGUACAUCAUUUAAGUUUUUCCGAAUAAAUGCUGAUUAUAAUUGUUAAAUGUU